rnacentral:rRNA from 1 species
AGGCGUUGUUGGGUAGGGGAGCGUUCUGUAAGCCGUUGAAGGUGGCCUGUGAGGGUUGCUGGAGGUAUCAGAAGUGCGAAUGCUGACAUAAGUAACGAUAAAGCGGGUGAAAAGCCCGCUCGCCGGAAGACCAAGGGUUCCUGUCCAACGUUAAUCGGGGCAGGGUGAGUCGACCCCUAAGGCGAGGCUGAAAAGCGUAGUCGAUGGGAAACAGGUUAAUAUUCCUGUACUUGGUGUUACUGCGAAGGGGGGACGGAGAAGGCUAGGCUAGCCGGGCGACGGUUGUCCCGGUUUAAGCGUGUAGGGGGUGUGACCUGGUAAAUCCGGUUGCAUAUCAACCCUGAGGCGUGAUGACGAUGCACUACGGUGCAGAAGUAGUUGAUGCCCUGCUUCCAGGAAAAGCCUCUAAGCUCCAGGUAACAUUGAAUCGUACCCCAAACCGACACAGGUGGUCAGGUAGAGAAUACCAAGGCGCUUGAGAGAACUCGGGUGAAGGAACUAGGCAAAAUGGUGCCGUAACUUCGGGAGAAGGCACGCUGGCAUGUAGGUGAAGUCCCUUGCGGAUGGAGCUGAAGCCAGUCGAAGAUACCAGCUGGCUGCAACUGUUUAAUAAAAACACAGCACUGUGCAAACACGAAAGUGGACGUAUACGGUGUGACGCCUGCCCGGUGCUGGAAGGUUAAUUGAUGGGGUCAGCCGCAAGGCGAAGCUCUUGAUCGAAGCCCCAGUAAACGGCGGCCGUAACUAUAACGGUCCUAAGGUAGCGAAAUUCCUUGUCGGGUAAGUUCCGACCUGCACGAAUGGCGUAAUGAUGGCCAGGCUGUCUCCACCCGAGACUCAGUGAAAUUGAACUCGCUGUGAAGAUGCAGUGUACCCGCGGCAAGACGGAAAGACCCCGUGAACCUUUACUAUAGCUUGACACUGAACAUUGAGCCUUGAUGUGUAGGAUAGGUGGGAGGCUUUGAAGCGUGGACGCCAGUCUGCGUGGAGCCAUCCUUGAAAUACCACCCUUUAAUGUUUGAUGUUCUAACUCGGCCCCAUAAUCUGGGGUGAGGACAGUGUCUGGUGGGUAGUUUGACUGGGGCGGUCUCCUCCCAAAGAGUAACGGAGGAGCACGAAGGUUAGCUAAUCACGGUCGGACAUCGUGAGGUUAGUGCAAAGGCAUAAGCUAGCUUGACUGCGAGAGUGACGGCUCGAGCAGGUACGAAAGUAGGUCUUAGUGAUCCGGUGGUUCUGAAUGGAAGGGCCAUCGCUCAACGGAUAAAAGGUACUCCGGGGAUAACAGGCUGAUACCGCCCAAGAGUUCAUAUCGACGGCGGUGUUUGGCACCUCGAUGUCGGCUCAUCACAUCCUGGGGCUGAAGUAGGUCCCAAGGGUAUGGCUGUUCGCCAUUUAAAGUGGUACGCGAGCUGGGUUUAGAACGUCGUGAGACAGUUCGGUCCCUAUCUGCCGUGGGCGUUGGAAGAUUGAGAGGGGUUGCUCCUAGUACGAGAGGACCGGAGUGAACGCACCACUGGUGUUCGGGUUGUCAUGCCAAUGGCAUUGCCCGGUAGCUAAGUGCGGAAAAGAUAAGCGCUGAAAGCAUCUAAGCGCGAAACUUGCCUCAAGAUGAGUCUUCCCUGGGCCUUUA